UACUUUGGCAGAUUAGUGCAAUAGAUUUAGGAUCUUUUUAUAUAAUUAUUUAUAGGUAAUAA
rnacentral:tRNA from 1 species